UACGUAGGGACCAAGCGUUGUUCGGAUUUACUGGGCGUAAAGGGCGCGUAGGCGGCGUGGUAAGUCAAUUGUGAAAUCUCCGAGCUUAACUCGGAACGGUCAAUUGAUACUGCUGUGCUAGAGUACAGAAGGGGCAAUCGGAAUUCCUGGUGUAGCGGUGAAAUGCGCAGAUAUCAGGAGGAACACCGGUGGCGAAGGCGGGUCUCUGGACAGUUCCGUGACGGCUGAGGCACGAAGGUCAGGGACGCAAACGGG
rnacentral:rRNA from 1 species